rnacentral:rRNA from 1 species
GUGGCGGAAGGGUGAGGAACGCGUGAGUAAUCUGCCCCCAAGUUGGGAAUAACAGUUGGAAACGACUGCUAAUACCGAAUGUGGCUUAAGCUUCGCAUGGAGCUUUGGCUAAAGAUUUAUUGCUUGGGGAUGAGCUCGCGCCCCAUUAGUUAGUUGGUGAGGUGAUGGCUCACCAAGACGAUGAUGGGUAGCUGGUCUGAGAGGAUGGUCAGCCACACUGGGACUGAGACACUGCCCAGACUCCUACGGGAGGCUGCAGUCGAGAAUCUUGGGCAAUGCGCGAAAGCGUGACCCAGCAAUGCCGCGUGUGUGAUGAAGGUCUUCGGAUUGUAAAACACUGUCUCCCGGGACGAAAAUUGACGGUACCGGGGAAGGAAGCCACGGCUAACUACGUGCCAGCAGCCGCGGUAAUACGUAGGUGGCGAGCGUUGUUCGGAUUUAUUGGGCGUAAAGGGUCUGUAGGAGGUUCGAUAAAUACGGGGUGAAAUCCGGGA